AUGGCUGAUGGAUGUUUGCUACGCCGCUGCGGUGAUGAUUGUUUCCGACCCGAGCAUGAUUCUCCGCCGCCAAAAGUUCUUGCUAAUGCAUCUCACGCUUCACCAUUAACAAUUGGGAACUUCAUUGUUGCAGUUCUUCUUACACAACUUCAUGUUGAAUUACUUGUUCACAAUGAUUAUGUUAGUCUUUACUUGAAGAUAGUCUGGGUUGGGCUUAAGGUGUCAAUGUAA